AUUGAACGCCGGCGGCAGGCUUAACACUGCAAGUCGAGCGGGGAAGGGUAGCUUGCUACCUGACCAGCGGCGGACGGGUGAGUAAUGCUUAGGAAUCUGCCUAUUAGUGGGGGACAACAUUCCGAAAGGAAUGCUAAUACCGCAUACGCCCUACGGGGGAAAGCAGGGGAUCUUCGCACCUUGCGCUAAUAGAUGAGCCUAAGUCAGAUUAGCUAGUUGGUGGGGUAAAGGCCUACCAAGGCGACGAUCUGUAGCGGGUCUGAGAGGAUGAUCCGCCACACUGGGACUGAGACACGGCCCAGACUCCUACGGGAGGCAGCAGUGGGGAAUAUUGGACAAUGGGCGCAAGCCUGAUCCAGCCAUGCCGCGUGUGUGAAGAAGGCCUUUUGGUUGCAAAGCACUUUAAGCGAGGAGGAGGCUACUUGGAUUAAUACUCUAGGAUAGUGGACGUUACUCGCAGAAUAAGCACCGGCUAACUCUGUGCCAGCAGCCGCGGUAAUACAGAGGGUGCGAGCGUUAAUCGGAUUUACUGGGCGUAAAGCGUGCGUAGGCGGCUUUUUAAGUCGGAUGUGAAAUCCCUGAGCUUAACUUAGGAAUUGCAUUCGAUACUGGGAAGCUAGAGUAUGGGAGAGGAUGGUAGAAUUCCAGGUGUAGCGGUGAAAUGCGUAGAGAUCUGGAGGAAUACCGAUGGCGAAGGCAGCCAUCUGGCCUAAUACUGACGCUGAGGUACGAAAGCAUGGGGAGCAAACAGG
rnacentral:rRNA from 1 species